rnacentral:lncRNA from 1 species
AUGCUGCUUGAUCAAGGUCGAUUUGCACAACAACAGACAGGAUAUCCAGUGCAGGUGUUUGAGCAGGUGAAUCAGAUUCCUAUAAGGGCGUGGAAAUCAUUGCCUAACAGAGGGGAAGUUAGUGAAAACUUGACUCUCAUAUUGACUCCCCAGAUGGACACACAGGUGAUUGAGGUUAUGGUCUCAUCACCAUGAGGUAUUGUGUCCAUCUCCACUGGGGAUCGAUCGAAUCAGGUGUUGACAUGGGCGAGAGGGUCUGUUUGUGUGUUUCCACAGGACCAGAUGGAACCUCUUUGGGUGCCGGAGAGAUUGGUGAGACGCUGCAAGAAUGAGGCUCCUGAUCCAGUUGCCCCUGUGGAUGUGGUGGAUGAUCCCACAAGCACAAAGGAUGGAGCCGAGAUGGGAGAUCCUUUCGGUGUUCCAGAAGCCGAUACCAGCUCGA